GAUCCCGCUGAACUUAAGCAUAUCAAUAAGCGGAGGAAAAGAAACCAACAGGGAUUGCCCCAGUAACGGCGAGUGAAGCGGCAACAGCUCAAAUUUGAAAUCUGGCCCUCGGGUCCGAGUUGUAAUUUGUAGAGGAUGCUUCCGGCGACGCGCCUUCCGAGUUCCCUGGAACGGGACGCCUGAGAGGGUGAGAGCCCCGUACGGUCGGACGCCUAGCCUGUGUGAAGCUCCUUCGACGAGUCGAGUAGUUUGGGAAUGCUGCUCUAAAUGGGAGGUAAAUUUCUUCUAAAGCUAAAUACCGGCCAGAGACCGAUAGCGCACAAGUAGAGUGAUCGAAAGAUGAAAAGCACUUUGAAAAGAGGGUUAAACAGUACGUGAAAUUGUUGAAAGGGAAGCGUUUGCGACCAGACUUUUCCCCGGCGGAUCAUCCGGCGUUCUCGCCGGUGCACUCCGCCGGGCUAAGGCCAGCAUCGGCUCCCGCGGGGGGACAAAGGCGCCGGGAAUGUGGCUCGCCUCGGCGAGUGUUAUAGCCCGGUGCGUAAUGCCCCCGCUGGGGGCCGAGGUACGCGCUCCGCAAGGAUGCUGGCGUAAUGGUCGUCAACGACCCGUCUUGAAACACGGACC
rnacentral:rRNA from 1 species